rnacentral:rRNA from 1 species
AGCGUACACGGUGGAUGCCCUGGCAGUCAGAGGCGAUGAAGGGCGUGCUAAUCUGCGAUAAGCGCCGGUAAGGUGAUAUGAACCGUUAUAACCGGCGAUACCCGAAUGGGGAAACCCAGUGUGAUUCGUCACACUAUCAUUAACUGAAUCCAUAGGUUAAUGAGGCGAACCGGGGGAACUGAAACAUCUAAGUACCCCGAGGAAAAGAAAUCAACCGAGAUUCCCCCAGUAGCGGCGAGCGAACGGGGAGGAGCCCAGAGCCUGAAUCAGCAUGUGUGUUAGUGGAAGCGUCUGGAAAGGUGCGCGAUACAGGGUGACAGCCCCGUACACAAAAGCGCAUGUGCUGUGAGCUCGAUGAGUAGGGCGGGACACGUGGUAUCCUGUCUGAAUAUGGGGGGACCAUCCUCCAAGGCUAAAUACUCCUGACUGACCGAUAGUGAACCAGUACCGUGAGGGAAAGGCGAAAAGAACCCCGGCGAGGGGAGUGAAAAAGAACCUGAAACCGUGUACGUACAAGCAGUGGGAGCACCCUUCGGGGUGUGACUGCGUACCUUUUGUAUAAUGGGUCAGCGACUUAUAUUCUGUAGCAAGGUUAACCGUAUAGGGGAGCCGGAGGGAAACCGAGUCUUAACCGGGCGUUAAGUUGCAGGGUAUAGACCCGAAACCCGGUGAUCUAGCCAUGGGCAGGUUGAAGGUUGGGUAACACUAACUGGAGGACCGAACCGACUAAUGUUGAAAAAUUAGCGGAUGACCUGUGGCUGGGGGUGAAAGGCCAAUCAAACCGGGAGAUAGCUGGUUCUCCCCGAAAGCUAUUUAGGUAGCGCCUCGUGAAUUCAUCUCCGGGGGUAGAGCACUGUUUCGGCUAGGGGGCCAUCCCGGCUUACCAACCCGAUGCAAACUGCGAAUACCGGAGAAUGUUAUCACGGGAGACACACGGCGGGUGCUAACGUCCGUCGUGAAGAGGGAAACAACCCAGACCGCCAGCUAAGGUCCCAAAGUCAUGGUUAAGUGGGAAACGAUGUGGGAAGGCCCAGACAGCCAGGAUGUUGGCUUAGAAGCAGCCAUCAUUUAAAGAAAGCGUAAUAGCUCACUGGUCGAGUCGGCCUGCGCGGAAGAUGUAACGGGGCUAAACCAUGCACCGAAGCUGCGGCAGCGAACGUAUCACCCAAGACAACUUUACGGAGUUGACGAUUGACGGAGCGAAGCGACGUCAAAGCGUUCAUUAAAGUCGAGUUGGCUUAGGGAUACGUUCGUUGGGUAGGGGAGCGUUCUGUAAGCCUGUGAAGGUGUGUCGUGAGGCAUGCUGGAGGUAUCAGAAGUGCGAAUGCUGACAUAAGUAACGAUAAAGCGGGUGAAAAGCCCGCUCGCCGGAAGACCAAGGGUUCCUGUCCAACGUUAAUCGGGGCAGGGUGAGUCGACCCCUAAGGCGAGGCCGAAAGGCGUAGUCGAUGGGAAACGGGUUAAUAUUCCCGUACUUGGUGUUACUGCGAAGGGGGGACGGAGAAGGCUAUGUUGGCCGGGCGACGGUUGUCCCGGUUUAAGCGUGUAGGUGUGUGUUCCAGGUAAAUCCGGUUCACUUUAACACUGAGGCGUGACGACGAGGCACUACGGUGCUGAAGCAACAAAUGCCCUGCUUCCAGGAAAAGCCUCUAAGCAUCAGGUAACACGAAAUCGUACCCCAAACCGACACAGGUGGUCAGGUAGAGAAUACCAAGGCGCUUGAGAGAACUCGGGUGAAGGAACUAGGCAAAAUGGUGCCGUAACUUCGGGAGAAGGCACGCUGACACGUAGGUGAAGUGAUUUACUCAUGGAGCUGAAGUCAGUCGAAGAUACCAGCUGGCUGCAACUGUUUAUUAAAAACACAGCACUGUGCAAACACGAAAGUGGACGUAUACGGUGUGACGCCUGCCCGGUGCCGGAAGGUUAAUUGAUGGGGUCAGCGCAAGCGAAGCUCCUGAUCGAAGCCCCGGUAAACGGCGGCCGUAACUAUAACGGUCCUAAGGUAGCGAAAUUCCUUGUCGGGUAAGUUCCGACCUGCACGAAUGGCGUAAUGAUGGCCAGGCUGUCUCCACCCGAGACUCAGUGAAAUUGAACUCGCUGUGAAGAUGCAGUGUACCCGCGGCAAGACGGAAAGACCCCGUGAACCUUUACUAUAGCUUGACACUGAACAUUGAGCCUUGAUGUGUAGGAUAGGUGGGAGGCUUUGAAGUGUGGACGCCAGUCUGCAUGGAGCCGACCUUGAAAUACCACCCUUUAAUGUUUGAUGUUCUAACGUGGACCCGUAAUCCGGGUUGCGGACAGUGUCUGGUGGGUAGUUUGACUGGGGCGGUCUCCUCCUAAAGAGUAACGGAGGAGCACGAAGGUUGGCUAAUCCUGGUCGGACAUCAGGAGGUUAGUGCAAUGGCAUAAGCCAGCUUGACUGCGAGCGUGACGGCGCGAGCAGGUGCGAAAGCAGGUCAUAGUGAUCCGGUGGUUCUGAAUGGAAGGGCCAUCGCUCAACGGAUAAAAGGUACUCCGGGGAUAACAGGCUGAUACCGCCCAAGAGUUCAUAUCGACGGCGGUGUUUGGCACCUCGAUGUCGGCUCAUCACAUCCUGGGGCUGAAGUAGGUCCCAAGGGUAUGGCUGUUCGCCAUUUAAAGUGGUACGCGAGCUGGGUUUAGAACGUCGUGAGACAGUUCGGUCCCUAUCUGCCGUGGGCGCUGGAGAACUGAGGGGGGCUGCUCCUAGUACGAGAGGACCGGAGUGGACGCAUCACUGGUGUUCGGGUUGUCAUGCCAAUGGCACUGCCCGGUAGCUAAAUGCGGAAGAGAUAAGUGCUGAAAGCAUCUAAGCACGAAACUUGCCCCGAGAUGAGUUCU